GGGACCAAAUUGGCUAACAUUCUUCGGUUCUUUAACAAGUUACACUCUUUAAAUCUUUACAAUCGGAUUUAUUUAAUGUUACAUCUAUAGUUCAGUUAAUAUAUAUUGUAUUCCAUUGCAUCUUUUGAGUCACACAGCAACAUUGUAAGACAAGAACUUGUGAUCAGAGCCAUAAUUGCAAAAAUGUAUAAACAAAUGAAAAUAAUUAGAAACUUUGUUUUAAGCCCUCUAAAAACAGACCCCUUAUUG
rnacentral:lncRNA from 1 species